GGCCGAGUAGCCAAGUAGUAAGGCGACUCUCUGCAAAAGAGUUACACGCGAGUGCGAUUCUCGCCUCGGCCUCCA
rnacentral:tRNA from 1 species